UACAGAGGGUGCGAGCGUUAAUCGGAAUUACUGGGCGUAAAGCGUGCGUAGACGGUUAUUUAAGUCGGGUGUGAAAGCCCCGGGCUCAACCUGGGAACUGCACUCGAUACUGGGCGGCUAGAGUAUGAGAGAGGGAGGUAGAAUUCCACGUGUAGCGGUGAAAUGCGUAGAUAUGUGGAGGAAUACCGGUGGCGAAGGCGGCCUCCUGGUUCAAUACUGACGCUGAGGUGCGAAAGCGUGGGGAGCAAACAGG
rnacentral:rRNA from 1 species